AACGAACGCUGGCGGCAUGCCUAACACAUGCAAGUCGAACGAGACCUUCGGGUCUAGUGGCGCACGGGUGCGUAACGCGUGGGAACCUGCCCUUAGGUUCGGAAUAACUCCCCGAAAGGGGUGCUAAUACCGGAUAAUGUCUUCGGACCAAAGAUUUAUCGCCUUUGGAUGGGCCCGCGUUGGAUUAGCUAGUUGGUAGGGUAAAAGCCUACCAAGGCGACGAUCCAUAGCUGGUCUGAGAGGAUGAUCAGCCACACUGGGAUUGAGACACGGCCCAGACUCCUACGGGAGGCAGCAGUGGGGAAUAUUGGACAAUGGGCGAAAGCCUGAUCCAGCAAUGCCGCGUGAGUGAUGAAGGCCUUAGGGUUGUAAAGCUCUUUUACCCGGGAUGAUAAUGACAGUACCGGGAGAAUAAGCUCCGGCUAACUCCGU
rnacentral:rRNA from 1 species